UCAGCGCCUCGCCUGAGCGCAACAGAGCGCGCGUUAGAGACCAAACAGUCUAACGCAGAAAGGAGAGACGAGAGGGGACAUCAUGGGCCGCACGGAUACAAACACCAGCGCUGUUCUUCCCCAACAAUGACCCCUUGUAUCCCCGCCAUGCGACACACUGGCACCCAAUCCAAAAAUCAACACUUUUUUUUUUUUUUAAAUGUUGACCGUGAUAAGGGAAUCCUAACCAUGAGAGCAUCUCUCUGUCUGAUUCUCUGCCUCUCUCCCUCCUUUCUUUGCGUCCUUUGUUUUAUCUCAGGUGAAUUGGAAUCAUGUGAUCAAAAACCAGCACCCCCUUCUCCCUUUAAUGAAAAAAAAGCGGGGGGAACAAAAAGCAGUUCUGUGCAUAUGAAAAAAGAAAAGAAAAGAAGGAAAAAGCUUGUGUCUUCCCCUCCACCGCCACUCUUUGUCCGCGUCUCAACAAACUCUCACAUAUAAAGAGUAAAAUGCUCCAGGAGCGCGGCGACUCCGGCCCCCGGGAGGCUGUGGUGGGACCGUCCGGCUCCUGGAGCUUUAAACCCGGGGAUCUUCACAGAGACACUCCGGGGAUUUCUCUCCCGCUGUGCAGCGGAGGAUUUGCGGCCCGGCCUCGGUUUGACGUGUCUCUGGCUUCCAACCAACAUCGCAGCUGUGAAAUAAGUUCUUCUACCUCUGAGCUGUAUCUAUAAAAAGAAGAUGCAACCAGCUAACAAUCCAUCAUCGAUGGCGUCUCCCUUUCAGUGCAAAGAUUUGAUAAACUGUAAUGAACAAGAGGCCGGGAGAAGCAGGGCGAGGAGGGGACAGUGGAUAGCGUGACACCUAGGAGAGAUGGCUGCCAAACAGCAAACGGCAGCAGACCGCUGUUAAGGAUCAAAGAAAGGAAUGUGGGUGUGCAUCUGCCCAUAUGACAAAUACACAGAGGAGGAACGAGGGGGCGGAUGGAGACACAGCAAUGAAAGUAGCGGCAACAGUGAGGCAAACAGAAACUUCGAGGACAGACGGGGGGAACUUCCGGGGGGUAACAUGUACACAAUGAAGGGAAUGACACUUGUGAAUGAAGUCUGUUUGAGUUCUGCUGCUGUGGAUGGCAUGAUGAGAACUGUUCAAGGGUCAAUUAAACAUGACAAGGACUGUGUGGUAGAAAAUACUGGAGCCUAGUUUAGUACAGUUUUAGUAAUACAAAAGCUUCAGAAGAGAGAAUGAAGCAAGAGUUACACUCAAGGACUGCACCUACACAUCAGCAGUGGCACCCUCGGAAUUUUUUUAUAGGGGAUGGCAAAACUAUGUCAGUAUGAGAGUGAAGGAAUCACAUACCGACAUACUUUAGUUUAUUAUUUUACAGUUAAUAUGACUAUUGGUACAUUUUGAGUUCCACAACAAUCCUGUUUUAACGUGUUAUGUAUCUGUACAUGUACAUUAGGCAAUUCAUUGUUCUUCAGAUAGACUGGUUGUCCUUUUCCUUAAAAAGACAAAUAUACAGCUUUAAUUUAAAGGAAUAUAUUGAUAGUAGGGAACGAAACAUCUACGGGGAACGACACAGAAGAAAGGAAAAUUCCAAAGUCAGUAUGUCAUUAGUAUGAGAGAUUUGAAGAAUGAUUUUGACAAUUUUCUCAAAUUUCUUAGAUUCAGCUCCUGAGAAAUAGUCUUCCUCUUGUCCCAGCCCAACUAGGUCUCACCCCGAAGUCGUCGAAAUCCUGUGCUUGGGCAGUGACUUGCCGUCUGACAAAAGUAGCUGUCCUUUAACAUCGGCCAGUCGCCAUUAUAGUUUAACUGCGUUUGGUGGCGGGACAUGAGCAUGAGUUUAAGGCAGCGAAAGUUUGCGCAGGGUAGGAGGGAGGGAUGGUGAUCCAACAAACACUGACUUUCACCUGGAGAGUGGUGUUUGCGUUCUGUAAGGUUAUAAAGCCAAACUUAACCACGUGUUUGUAUUGCCAAAACCCGACCACGUGCGUUAGUUGCUGGAGGAAACAAAAACGUCAGUUUGCAUUGUCGUGCUGACGUAGUAGCCUGGAAAUCCAGACUCAAAUCUAGAAAGAGUCUGGCCCUCAGCGAUACACCCUUCCUACCCAAGGGGCGCCACUAACUGAGGCAUUUCACAUGCCGCCGCACGCAAUUGAAUAGCACGAUGGCCAAUCAGAGCAAAAAACAAGGUGACGUGUCAUUGCACGUAUUCAUUGGUUUGCCGACCAGUGGGGCUAGCUGAUAUAUUAUGCUUUUGCUGUAUCCCACUGGCAAAACAGCAAAA